rnacentral:sRNA from 2 species
UGAAAGACGCGCAUUUGUUAUCAUCAUCACUGGAUUUCAGAGAUGAAAUUUUUGGCCACAGUAAUGUGGCCUUUUUC